rnacentral:rRNA from 1 species
UACGUAGGGUGCGAGCGUUAAUCGGAAUUACUGGGCGUAAAGCGUGCGCAGGCGGUUUGUGCAAGACAGAUGUGAAAUCCCCCGGGCUUAACCUGGGAACUGCGUUUGAAACUACAAGGCUAGAGUGUGGCAGAGGGGGGGUGGGAAUUCCGACGUGUAGCAGUGAAAUGACGUAGAGAUGUGGAGGAACACCGAUGGCGAAGGCAGCCCCCUGGGUUAACACUGACGCUCAGGCACGAAAGCGUGGGGAGCAAACAGG